rnacentral:rRNA from 1 species
AGAGUUUGAUCCUGGCUCAGAACAAUGCUAGCGAUUGGCCUAACACAUGCAAGUCGAGCGAACAACCACAACAGGUUGUUAGCGGCGAACGGGUGAGUAACACGUGAGAAUCUGCCUUGUUCAACGGAAUAGCUUAAGGAAACUUGAGGUAAUACCGUAUGACUCCUGCAACAGGUAAAGAACAUUCGGAACAAGAUGAGCUUGCGGUAGAUUAGCUAGUUGGUGGGGUAAAGGCCUACCAAGGCAAUGAUCUAUAGCUGAUCUGGGAGGAUGGACAGCCACAUUGGGAUUGAGACAAGGCCCAAACUUCUAUGGAAGGCAGCAGUGGGGAAUAUUGGACAAUGGGCGAAAGCCUGAUCCAGCCAUAUCGCAUGAGUGAUUGAAGGUCUAUAAAAGGGGUACAGAACAUGUACUUUGGACUGUAAAACUCUGUUUGUUUAGUGAUAAUAAUGAUAGUAACUGAAUAAAAGCUCCGGCCAACUUCGUGCCAGCAGCCGCGGUAAUACGAGGGGAGCGAGUGUUGUUCGGUUUUAUUGGGCGUAAAGGGUAUGUAGGCGGUUUUGUAAGUCAACGAUUAAAUCUUGAAGCUUAACUUCAUUAGCGGUUGUUGAUACUGCAUAACUAUGAACUUAAUAGGGGUGAACACAAUUCCAAGUGUAGAGGUGAAAUUCGUUGAUAUUUGGAGGAGUACCAAAGGCGAAGGCAGUUCAUUGGGUUAAGUUGACGCUGAGGUACGAAAGCGUGGGGAGCAAACAGGAUUAGAUACCCUGGUAGUCCACGCCCUAAACGAUGAGUGCUAACAGUCAGGUAUAAAAUAACAACCUGAAAGAUAUGUUUUCGGAUAUACCGAAUGGUUGCAUGUUUAUAUUUGAUUGUGUAGCUAACGCGUUAAGCACUCCGCCUGGGGACUACGGUCGCAAGGCUAAAACUCAAAGGAAUUGACGGAGACCCGCACAAGCGGUGGAGCAUGUGGUUUAAUUCGAAGCUACACGAAGAACCUUACCAGCUCUUGACAUUUUUGGCUAAACAUGUUGGAAACAACAUGCCACUUACAACAGUAAGGAUGCCUUGAACAGGUGCUGCAUGGCUGUUGUCAGUUCGUGUCGUGAGAUGUAUGGUUAAGUCCUAAAACGAACGUAACCCUUGUCCAUAGUUGCCGAAACAAAUAGGCUCUCUAUGGAGACUGCUAAUAAAAGUUAGAGGAAGGUGAGGAUCACAACAAGUCAUCAUGGCCCUUAUGGGCUGGGCUACACACGUGCUACAAUGGCAACUACAAAGAGUCGCAAUAUCGUGAGGUGGAG